AUACGUAGGUGGCGAGCGUUGUCCGGAAUUACUGGGCGUAAAGGGUGCGUAGGCGGCCAUUUAAGUGGGAUGUGAAAUACACAGGCUUAACUUGUGAAUUGCAUUCCAAACUGGAUGGCUAGAGUGCAGGAGAGGAAAGCGGAAUUCCCAGUGUAGCGGUGAAAUGCGUAGAGAUUGGGAGGAACACCAGUGGCGAAGGCGGCUUUCUGGACUGUAACUGACGCUGAUGCACGAAAGCGUGGGGAGCAAACAGGAUUAGAUACCCUGGUAGUCCACGCUGUAAACGAUGGAUACUAGGUGUAGGGGUUGUCAUGACCUCUGUGCCGCCGCUAACGCAUUAAGUAUUCCGCCUGGGGAGUACGGUCGCAAGAUUAAA
rnacentral:rRNA from 1 species